rnacentral:rRNA from 1 species
UACGAAGGGUGCAAGCGUUACUCGGAAUUACUGGGCGUAAAGCGUGCGUAGGUGGUUUGUUAAGUCUGUUGUGAAAGCCCCGGGCUCAACCUGGGAAUGGCAAUGGAUACUGGCAGGCUAGAGUGCGGUAGAGGGUAGUGGAAUUCCCGGUGUAGCGGUGAAAUGCGUAGAGAUCGGGAGGAACACCAGUGGCGAAGGCGAAUCUCUGGACAGUAACUGACGCUGAGGCACGAAAGCCAGGGGAGCAAACGGG